ACAAACCCCUUCCCCUUCCCCUCAAUAAAAGACCACCGUCAAUGGAUAAUCGAUAGAGAAGCAACUGAAGAAUGGCCGAGCCUGAAUCAGCAGCGGCGGCGGUGUCCGCUCGAGUGAAAUCGCUCUUCAUCUACCCGAUCAAAUCUUGCCGCGGAAUCUCUGUCUCUGAAGCCUCCCUCUCUUCCACUGGAUUUCGGUGGGAUCGACAAUGGAUGGUCAUCAGUUCUAAAGGCAGGGCCAUUACACAAAGAGUUGAACCAAUGCUUGCUCUGAUUCAAGUAGAGUUGCCUACUGAGGCAUUCUGUGAGGAUUGGGAGCCUAGUAACAACUCCUAUUUAGUGGUCCGGGCUCCUGGAAUGGAUGUGCUGAAAGUUCCAUUGAGUAAACCGCGUGAAACUUCUGACGGUGUUUCCCUGUGGGAUUGGUCUGGCUCUGCAUUUGACGAGGGGGAUGAACCAUCAAAAUGGUUCUCAAGUUUUCUUCAGAAACCAUGUCACCUAGUGCGUUUCAACGAAGUAAAUGAGACAAGGGCCGUUGACCCUAAUUAUGCUCAUGGAUACAAAAUUAUGUUUUCCGAUGCUACUCAGUUCCUCAUUUUAUCCCAGGGAUCCUUGGAUGAACUGAAUAAGCUUCUUAAGGAGCCUGUAUCAGCCAACCGCUUCAGACCAAAUAUCCUUGUUGAUGGCUGCGAACCAUUUUCUGAGGAUUUAUGGAAGGAGAUCAAUAUUAAUAAGCUCACAUUUCAUAGUGUCCUGCUAUGCUACCGCUGCAAGGUUCCCACAGUUAAUCAAGAAACAGCAGCUGUUGGCUCUGAACCAAAUGAAACUCUUAGGACAUUCCGAUCAGACGAAGUUCUUCGUCCAAACAAGAAACAGCGCGGCAGGGUGAGGCUGAAUCAUACAGCCACAGGAUAGCAUAUUUCUUCAAACAUUAACAAAAUGCAUAGCCCCAUGGCUAAUACAUAUUUUAUUCGCGUCUAUUUUGGACAAUGUUUAGUUUGCUCCGACUCCAUUACUGACGUGAAGGAAAAGAUAAUCAGGGUAGGAGAUCCUGUUUACGCUCUGAAGUCGGUAUCUUCCCCAUCCGAGGCAGCUGCUUGAAGUCUAAUAAUUCCAUCAUUUGAAUGCCCUAAUGAAGUUUAUGAACAAGAAAACAUAAGAUAUUUAGUGCCAUAAAAUAACUAGAUGGUUGCUUAUUCCAAUAGUUAAGAGGCUCGUUAAGCCAGUUUGGUAUACGAUUCAGACUCUUUUUGAGUGUUGAGGCCUCCCCCUCCCAUUGUCGAUAUCCAGUUGCAUUUGGUAUGGGUUUGAGUAGCC